GUCGAGAAUAAUUCACAAUGGACGAAAGUCUGAUGGUGCAACGCCGCGUGGAGGAUGAAGGUCUUCGGAUUGUAAACUCCUGUCAUCGGGGAGUAAGACCUGGCGGUAAAUAGCCGACAGGGUUGAUAGUACCCGAAGAGGAAGGGACGGCUAACUUCGUGCCAGCAGCCGCGGUAAUACGAAGGUCCCAAGCGUUGUUCGGAAUCACUGGGCGUAAAGGGAGCGUAGGCGGCGUGGUAAGUCAGAUGUGAAAUCCCGGGGCUCCACCCCGGGACUGCAUCCGAGACUGCCAUGCUUGAGUGUUGGAGAGGUAGCUGGAAUUCUCGGUGUAGCAGUGAAAUGCGUGGAUAUCGAGAGGAACACUCGUGGCGAAGGCGAGCUACUGGACAACAUCUGACGCUGAGGCUCGAAGGCCAGGGGAGCAAAAGGGAUUAGAAACCCGUGUAGUCC
rnacentral:rRNA from 1 species